AGUCGAGCGGAAGGCCUUUCGGGGUACUCGAGCGGCGAACGGGUGAGUAACACGUGAGUAAUCUGCCCUGCACUCUGGGAUAGCCACCGGAAACGGUGAUUAAUACCGGAUAUGACAAUCUUGCGCAUGUGGGGUUGUGGAAAGUUUUUUCGGUGCGGGAUGUGCUCGCGGCCUAUCAGCUUGUUGGUGGGGUAAUGGCCUACCAAGGCUUCGACGGGUAGCCGGCCUGAGAGGGUGACCGGCCACACUGGGACUGAGACACGGCCCAGACUCCUACGGGAGGCAGCAGUGGGGAAUAUUGGACAAUGGGCGAAAGCCUGAUCCAGCAACGCCGCGUGAGGGAUGACGGCCUUCGGGUUGUAAACCUCUUUCAGCACAGACGAAGUUCUAUCUUUUUGGGUGGAGUGACGGUAUGUGCAGAAGAAGGACCGGCCAACUACGUGCCAGCAGCCGCGGUAAUACGUAGGGUCCGAGCGUUGUCCGGAAUUAUUGGGCGUAAAGGGCUCGUAGGCGGUUUGUUGCGUCGGGAGUGAAAACCCAGGGCUUAACCCUGGGCCUGCUUUCGAUACGGGCAGACUAGAGGCAUUCAGGGGAGAACGGAAUUCCUGGUGUAGCGGUGAAAUGCGCAGAUAUCAGGAGGAACACCGGUGGCGAAGGCGGUUCUCUGGGAAUGUUCUGACGCUGAGGAGCGAAAGUGUGGGGAGCGAACAGGAUUAGAUACCCUGGUAGUCCACACCGUAAACGUUGGGCGCUAGGUGUGGGACCUAUUCCAUGGGUUCCGUGCCGCAGCUAACGCAUUAAGCGCCCCGCCUGGG
rnacentral:rRNA from 1 species